UUGGUCGUUUGGGAUUCUCACCCGUUUCUUGCAAAGGUUGGCUUUCAGGGCCUGACGCCAGAGUUGCUGUCAUUGGCAUCGGACGAUUCCUUUUGAAAAAUCCAAGCUAGAAAAAGCGGAAAUGGAGAAAGGCGGUCGGAGGAAAAACUAGAUGGCGUUGAUGUGCGUCUAUGAUAGCGUGACAAGCUAAAUUGGUGUUUGUUACGUUUCUACCCUGUUAGUGGUUCAAAGAAUUUUUCAUCACAUAUUAACGGUGUCAGCUGCUGAACCAGUGGCCUGCAUUCCUGUUAUCAAUGUUGUCAAUAUUUUUAAGCCCGACUAAGUUAGGGGCACUCACGCCGUUCGCUUCCGGACAUUGACAUUCCUCCUUCAUGUGAAACUAUGGGGUGAGGACCCCUAAAGCUAAGUCAGGUAAAACAAAAAAGUAAAGUAAGUGAAAGAUCACUCUUAAAUAGGAUUGAAUUUUGUAUUUAUGCUAAGGUAACAAGCCGUUUUCUGGUAGAAAUUUUAGGCUGUCUGCUGAAUGUAGAUUGCGUUCUAUUUUAAACAUUCUCUUGGUUAAUAAACUAAAAUUUGUCACCUUUUCACGAUUAUUUGCAUGAUACACUCGAUUGUUGUUUGAAGGUGGAUUGUCACCAGACAUCACUUGAAUGGUACAAUAUGUUUGCGUGUUAUUUCUUUCAGUUCAAUUUUCUGUCAAACAAUGUUUUCAUUCUCCAGGUACACCCACUUUCAGCAGCCUUACAGUGUGCUUCAUAAACACAUCAACCCCUGAGAUAACAUUAUCAUUGGAAAUUGUGUUUUUGUUUUGGUUCUUUUCUCCACUUUAUUAUCCAUAUGCAAUUUUCACACUACUUCAUGGUGGGAUAUUUUAUCAUCCUGGAAAAAUGAUUCUGGAACUUGAUGAUUUCUAAUAUACAGCUGGUAUUCAGUUUUAUUUUUACAUGUACAACAUAGAUCUGCAUUAAUGUUGUUUUGCUUUCCCACAAGCAAGAUGAGAUUUAAUGUUUUUACAUUUCAGAAUGAGCUUCCAAUGUGAAGUUGCGAGUAUUUUAGAUUACGGAUUCCUACUUUGAAAACCAAACUAUUUCCUUCUACAAAUGGAUUUUGAAGUAUCAUGUGCAUGUGGUAUAUAUGUACUGUAUGAUACCUUUGUGAAGCCUUUAAUUGGCAUUAUAUAAAAAAAAUUACCAUGGAAGGAAGUUCUUGCAGGAUCUGUUAUCGACCGUCUAUGUUAUGCAGUAAUUGGAUCUGCAGUUUAGUUAGAAACUGUUACUUAGAAAUGUGCUCAGCAUAGAAUUUAUAUGAAAAAUGAUAUUUGAGUGAAAAAAGAUCCUGGUUGAGACAAGAGAUUUAAAAAAUGAUACUGUUUGGAAGGACGACCGGCAAUUUCAAGAUUCAUUUAUUUCCUUCCACUUUAUAGUAUUUAUUUAUUUUUUUAAAUUGAAUUGCAUAUCUGGGCUCCCUUCUUUUCUGUGGCCCCGUUUCCCCUUGACUCGUAAUAAGCCCGUAGGGGGUCAUGCCCCUACUGUGAUCAGCAGUAAAGGU